rnacentral:rRNA from 1 species
ACGAACGCUGGCGGCGUGCUUAACACCUGCAAGUCGAACGGAAAGGCCCUGCUUGCCGGGUACUCGAGUGGCGAACGGGUGAGUAACACGUGGGUGAUCUGCCCUGCACUUCGGGAUAAGCCUGGGAAACUGGGUCUAAUACCGGAUAGGAGCCAUUUUUAGUGUGAUGGUUGGAAAGUUUUUUCGGUGUAGGAUGAGCUCGCGGCCUAUCAGCUUGUUGGUGGGGUAAUGGCCUACCAAGGCGGCGACGGGUAGCCGGCCUGAGAGGGUGGACGGCCACAUUGGGACUGAGAUACGGCCCAGACUCCUACGGGAGGCAGCAGUGGGGAAUAUUGCACAAUGGGCGCAAGCCUGAUGCAGCGACGCCGCGGGGGGGAUGACGGCCUUCGGGUUGUAAACUCCUUUCGCUAGGGACGAAGCUUUUUGUGACGGUACCUAGAUAAGAAGCACCGGCUAACUACGUG